CGAAUGGGGCAAGCGUUGUUCGGAAUCACUGGGCGUAAAGCGUGUGUAGGCGGUUUAACAAGUCAGGAGUGAAAUCCCAGGGCUCAACCCUGGAAUUGCUCUUGAAACUGUUAAGCUAGAGUCCCGGAGAGGUUAGCAGAAUUCCGAGUGUAGAGGUGAAAUUCGCAGAUAUUCGGAGGAAUACCAGUGGCGUAAGCGGCUAACUGGACGGGCACUGACGCUGAGACACGAAAGCGUGGGGAUCAAACAGGAUU
rnacentral:rRNA from 1 species